rnacentral:lncRNA from 1 species
UCAAAUACAGCUAUAGGUUCCUAAUUGCUUUCUAAUUGUUCGCUAUACGUGAUGCAAAUAUCCAAGACGAAGUCAACAAAACACGAGAACAUCUAGAUGAGAAGCUUCCUUAUAUACCAUCCUUAUGCAGUGGCGUGGUAGUGCAAAAGUUACUGAAUUGACCUGCUGACGGCUCAACUGUUACUUCGGCUUUUUUCAAUAAAACUUCGGAACCGUUCAUCAAUAGGUCAAAAAGGUUUUCAUGCACGAGCAAAUGGAGCCUCUUGUUAAUGAAGCCUAAGCCAGAUAUUUUAACACGACUAGCAGCAAACAAACGUAUUCCGCACGCGACACUGCAACCCGUCAAUACUUGACCCCCGAGUUGCUCAUUCCUAUGACAGACAUGACUACCAGUUCUUUUAAUAAUUGUUCACACAUUGCAAAUGAUUCUGCACUACGGCUGCCUGGCGAUGGUAAAUUCGCGUGUCAAAGAAGCGAAAAGAAGUGCUUCUCAAAUAUUUCUGUGAUGGAACUUCCUAACCCAGUUUACCAAGGUGGCAAACUCUCCACCGGCGAACCACUUGACCGGAAACGCGAAUACUGGACGGAGAACUUCAUAGAAAUGCUGCGCCAGGAACAUAUUAUUCCAAAAAACGUUAAGGUGGACCUUAAGCCGCAUACUCCAAGACAUCAGUUCUGUCUCCCACGAGGAGUGAUUCGACUCAUUGAGCAGGAAUCAGAGGUGUAUCAACUCCUGUCAUUUCCAAGAGGCGUCCCAGGCGAAGAAGACAACUGCAUACAAGCACAUCACGCUGUUGGCCGACCAUUGUCCCUCAGCGUUAAUUACAAUAGCGCGAAGCUGAAUUUUACCUCUUUAACCAAGCAAAUUAUGACAGGAUCACAGGCAAACCUGGAAAGAGGCGUAUGCAAAGAGAGUGGCCCUUUUGACCCUCAAGCUUCUUUUCGACCACAAUCAAUCAGUCUAAACCAAUAUGAGUCCCAAUAUGCAACAUUCAACAAAUACCAGAGAACGGAUACGUUAUAGGGACCGAUUCACCAGGAAAAAUGAUUGUAGCAAUUUCUGCAACAUGUUGGUACGGAAGGAAGAGACUGGGCUUCUAAGCCAGCCAGUAAAGCUGGAUAGCAUGUUCACAGGCGAGCAGUAAUGCAUGUUUGUUCUUCGAAUCGAAUUUAGGUAAGUUCGAAGGAGCAAACUACGGCUUUGUAAUAUAAAGUUCCGCAGCUUUGGAUCUAGCAUCGAAUUGACGGAACCAAUAUUUCAUCUAUUAUACGUAACCUACAUUCACCUACUGUAGGGAACUGCAGAUUAAAUCUUGUUAUCUACGUUGUUUGUUGUAGAAAACUUGUUUUUAUAACAUCUACACCCGUUAGAGAAAUAGGGAAAAAACAGGGUGAAUUGAGAUUUGUUUGCGGCCAUUGUACUCCUAUUAUGCCGCUUGCCAAAAUGGAAAUACAAUAAACGUCUUUUACUUACAUCCCUUGUUUACCAUAUACACUAUUUUUAACUGAAUGAAGACCCUCGGAGUAAAAAUUGGUGUGAAUUGUUUAUACAGAGAAGACCUUACAUUAAUUUUAAUAAAAAAAUCAAAAAUUCUAAGA